rnacentral:lncRNA from 1 species
GAGAUGAGAAGAAAGAGUAGGCUCUGUUGUCCCUCAGACGGCGCUGCUGCAGUGCGUCUUCGCACUUACGCGGAGCGGUAAUGUGAGGAAGCCUCCCGCCAAACAGAUGAGGGAGGAGGAGGAGGGGAGAGGCCAGAGAGAGAAGCGGCUUUCGGGAAGGAAAGUGUGAUCUAGUAGGUGGAAUAGUCCUCUCCAAACUUUGACCUGAGGUGUGACUAUUGAAUGACCCUCUAUUUGGAUUUGGAUUACACAAAGUUUAACGUUUUUUGGAAAAAUCCUACCUAGGUAAUGUGUAGUUCUCAAUGCAUCAUGUCAGGCAGCUUAUGAUGCCAAUUUGUCCCAUGGCCUUAAAUUCCACAACCUCAUCAUCUACCACCUUUGGUGCUUUCAGAAUCAUGACUCUCAAUGUUGAAGAAUGGGCUACUGCAUGGAAGGUGCUGAUCCUUUUAGAGGCAGCCGUGGAAGAGGAAAAGAGAUCAGAAGAGAAAAGGAUAUUGGUUUGCGGAACAUGUGGGACAAGAAGUUCCCAGAAGAAUUUGUGAGCAACUUCCCGACAGUAAGGCCCUGGCUAGACCUCAGGAUGGUCCCUGCCUCCUGGACAUUAGGAAGCCCAAAGGCCAGAACAAAAACACAUGCCUAGUGGGGGAAGGCUCACUAAGAGGGCACCAAGUGGGGCAAAUACCCCUGGUAACCCAUUUAUGGAGGCUGCCACAGAAAUGCUAGUUGGAAAUUUUCCUCCUUCAGUCUAUCAUGAAUUUCUUUUUUCUCUUUUGAGAUGAAGUCGCCCGGGCUGCAGUUCAGUGGUGCAAUCUCAGCUCACUGCAAGCUCUGCCUCCCAGGUUCCAACGAUUGUCUUGUCUCAGCCUCCUGAGUAGCUGAGAUUAUAAGCACGCACCAUCAUACCCGACUAAUUUUUGUAUUUAUAGUAGAAAUGGGGUUUUGCCAUGUUGGCCAGGCUGGUCUUGAACUCCUGACCUUAGGGUGAUCCACCCAUCUUGGCCUCCAAAAGUGCUGGGAUUACAGGCAUGAGCCACUGCACUCGGCUGUACCGUGAUUAUUAGUUCAAGGUUCUCUUUCACUGGGGUAAAGACCUUAAGAGAGCAGUUUUUGGGCUUUAUAUUCUCAAUUUCCCGCACAGUGCCUAGCACAUAGCAAGGACUCAACAAAUUUCAUUGAAUGAAUGAAAAAACAUAGUUUACCAAAAAAAAAAAAAAA